CGCCCCUUGAUGGUCCCGGAUGGUCCAUUGGUCCACCCGACCUGCGGGGACGGUCGCUGCGGGCGGCCGCACCCGCAGGUCGGUUAGAAA
rnacentral:SRP_RNA from 13 species